rnacentral:rRNA from 1 species
AUGCACGCUGGCGGCGUGCCUAAUACCUGCAAGUCGAGCGAACAGACGAGGAGCUUGCUCCUCUGACGUUAGCGGCGGCCGGGUGAGUAACACGUGGAUAACCUACCUAUAAGACUGGGAUAACUUCGGGAAACCGGAGCUAAUACCGGAUAAUAUAUUGAACCGCAUGGUUCAAUAGUGAAAGACGGUUUUGCUGUCACUUAUAGAUGGAUCCGCGCCGCAUUAGCUAGUUGGUAAGGUAACGGCUUACCAAGGCAACGAUGCGUAGCCGACCUGAGAGGUUGAUCGGCCACACUGGAACUGAGACACGGUCCAGACUCCUACGGGAGGCAGCAGUAGGGAAUCUUCCGCAAUGGGCGAAAGCCUGACGGAGCAACGCCGCGUGAGUGAUGAAGGUCUUCGGAUCGUAAAACUCUGUUAUUAGGGAAGAACAAAUGUGUAAGUAACUAUGCACGUCUUGACGGUACCUAAUCAGAAAGCCACGGCUAACUACGUG